GGACUGAAAGAGGGGCAAUGGAGGGGCCUUGACCAGAGGGCUGGGGCCUCUGACACUGGACAAAUCAUGGGAUUCUCCACCCAUGACGAUGCCUGCUGUUGACUGCAGCCUAAGACACAUGAAGGCCCAUCACCCAGGACACCGUCUGGGGCUCCUAUACCACAGGUUGUGAGACACUGACACUGGAGAACAGAGGAAGUUGGCAGAGUGCCUGCGAGUCCCCUGGCAGAUCCCUGUCCUGGCAGAUGGGCCUUAUGUGAGUGCCCAGGACCCUUCCUCGAACCACAACUGUGCCAGGGACAGCACACCACCCACACCAUCCCACCAACUGCCCCCUGGGCUUGAGCUGUGAACUCAGAUUCCUCUGAGGAACCUGCUUCCAGUCCUGCUGCGGGGCAGUGAGAAGUGGGGAAAAGCCUGGCAGCUCAACAACCUGAGGCCCAAGAUGGUGAUCGCUGCACUGCCGUGAACUGCUCCCACUGCCGGGCAAUGAGGAGAAACGGCUGUCGCCUUCCACAGGGAGCCUGCCUUGAUCUCUGUGAUCAGGAAUGUGGCUGAGCAAAUGGAGCUUGUACCUCCAGGAUGGACGUGCCUCCCAGAUGCUAGUUGCUAGAAGAGUCCUGGCAGUGGAGGGAAAGUUGGCUCUGCA